GCAAUGGAGACUCCGUGCGAAUGGCCAUUGUGUUAACCCAUCAAAAUAUUUUUGUCUACGGAAUGAUAUCAUUAACGGAUAUUCUGAAAAUUGUACAAGGUCUGACUUUCAGCAAGCAGGUAGAAAAUCAGUUCUUCGUGGAGGAAUAGACGCAGUAUUCUGUUCAAAGAAAAGAUUUCAGCCAUCUGGAUACACUUUAUACACCAAUGCCAGUACAAACUGUAUCUUGUUAAAGUCAUUCUGCAAUGAGGAGGGUCAAGUUGUAUAUGACCCUGGAAAUCGUACCACUGAUGCUACCUGUAUAUGUAAUUACAGACGAGGUUUUGCUUUUCUGAUCAAACCAAACAACCCGUGCUUUUGUAAACCAUCACAAGAAGACUGUUCCUGCUUUUUGAAUAUUUGCCCCAAUAGUAGUCAUAUACUUUCACCAGAUUAUAAAUGCACUAUCGAUUCGGACCUUCCUCCUGUCUCU